GUCGUCACAGCUGCCACUGUUGUCAUCACCUCUGCGGCUGCUGCUGCUGCUGACACCCUGACCCUCAGAGUUCCGGGCCUCCUGCUUCACUCCCUUGACGCCCAGAGUUCCAGAAGCACGCGUCUUGCUGGCUGAGCCUCUGUCUCCGGCAGCUUGGGCAGCACAAGCAGCUCAGAGAACCUCACGUUGAGCAGGGCAUUCGGACUUGGUCUCUGGCCAGCAGGAGCAGCAACAGAGAAGCACAGCAAACCCGUGCUGACUCCUUUGGCGGUUUUAAUGCCAGACAAUGAGAACUCGGUGCGAAUCAAACACAGUACAGAAGAGAGACGCACAAGGAGCCAGGUAACUGUAUGACACAAUGUGACUGCUGCUGAAACAGACAUCUAGGAAGCCCUGGGCCUCAGGAAGGAGACCUCGACUGCCGUGAAGAGCUGAGGAGGAGUCACACAGGUAUGCGUGUUAGUCAGUUUCCCACUACUGUAACCACUACUUGAGACACCCAG
rnacentral:lncRNA from 1 species